rnacentral:rRNA from 1 species
GGUUUGAUCAUGGCUCGAUUGGAACGCUGGCGGGAUGCUUUACACAUGCAAGUCGAACGGCAGCACGGACUUCGGUCUGGUGGCGAGACAGAACGGGUGAGAGUAAUGUAUCGGAACUGCCCAGUAGCGGGGAUAACUACGCGAAAGCGUAGCCAAUACCGCAUAUUGCCCUUCGGGGGAAAGCGGGGGACCUUAGGGCCUGCCCGGCUAGAGCGGGCCGAUAUUUGGAUUAGCUAGUUGGUGGGGUAACGGCUCACUCGGGAAGGCGACGAUCCCGUAGCUGGUUUGAGAGGACGACCAGCCACACUGGGACUGAGACAGGCCCGCCCUACGGGAGGCAGCAGUGGGGAAUUUUGGACAAUGGGGAAACCCUGAUCCAGCCAUCCCGCGUGUGCGAUGAAGGCUCUCGGGUUAAAAAGCACUUUUGGCAGGGAAGGAAAAUGGCACGGAUAAUACCCUGCAACUGACGGUACCCUGCAGAAUAAGCACCGGCUAACUACGUGCCAGCAGCCGCGUAAUACGUAGGCAAGCGUUAAUCGGAAUUACUGGGCGUAAAGCGUGCACAGGCGGCUCGGAAAGAAAAGAGGGAAAUCCCAGAGCUUGAACUUUGGAACCGCAUUUUGAAUUACCGACAGAGGUGUCAGAGGAGGUGGAAUUCGCGUGUAGCAGUGAAAUGCAAGAUAUGCGGAGGAACACCGAUGGCGAAGCAGCCUCCUGGGAUAACACUGACGCUCAUGCACGAAAGCGUGGGGAGCAAAUGCAUUAGAUACUCCUGGGUGUAGUCCACGCCCUAAACGAUGUCAACUAGCUGUUGGGGCCUCUGGCCUUGGUAGCGCAGCUAACGCGUGAAGUUGACCGCCUGGGGAGUGUUGUCGCAAGAUUAAAAACUCAAAGGAAUUGAUGGGACCGCACAAGCGGUGGAUGAUGUGGAUUAAUUCGAUGCAACGCGAAAAACCUUACCUACCCUUGACAUGUCUGGAAUCCCGAAGAGAUGUGGGAGUGCUCGCAAGAGAACCGGAACACAGGUGGGCUGCAUGGUGGCUGUCGUCAGCUCGUGUCGUGAGAUGUUGGGUUAAGUCCCGCAACGAGCGCAACCUUGUCAUUAGUUGCUACGAAUGGGUACUCUAACGAGACUGCUGGUGACAAACCGAGGAAGGUGGAUGACGUCAAGUCUCAUGGUCUUUAUGGGUAUUUCACACGUCAUACAAUGGUUGGACAGAGGGUCGCCAACCCGCGAGGGGGAGCCAAUCCCAGAACCGAUCGCAGUCCGGAUCGCACAGUCUGCAACUCGACCGCGAAGUCGGAAUCGCUAGUAAUCGCGUGAUCAGCAAUGUCGCGGUGAAUACGUUCCCGGGUCUUGUACACACCGCCCACACCAUGGGAGUGGUUUUACCAGAAGUAUACUAACCGUAAGGAGGGCGAUUACCACGUAGGAUUCACACUGGGGUGAAGUCGUAACAAGGUGGUAGCCCCC